rnacentral:rRNA from 1 species
GAUGAACGCUGGCGGCGUGCUUAACACAUGCAAGUCGAACGAUGAAGCCCAGCUUGCUGGGUGGAUUAGUGGCGAACGGGUGAGUAACACGUGAGUAACCUGCCCUUAACUCUGGGAUAAGCCUGGUAAACUGGGUCUAAUACCGGAUAGGAGCGUCCACCGCAUGGUGGGUGUUGGAAAGAUUUAUCGGUUUUGGAUGGACUCGCGGCCUAUCAGCUUGUUGGUGAGGUAAUGGCUCCCCAAGGCGACGACGGGUAGCCGGCCUGAGAGGGUGACCGGCCACACUGGGACUGAGACACGGCCCAGACUCCUACGGGCGGCAGCAGUGGGGAAUAUUGCACAAUGGGCGCAAGCCUGAUGCAGCGACGCCGCGUGAGGGAUGACGGCCUUCGGGUUGUAAACCUCUUUCAGUAGGGAAGAAGCGAAAGUGACGGUACCUGCAGAAGAAGCACCGGCUAACUACGUG